AUGCGUCUUAUUGUAUUUAGAUGGGAACUCCAUCUCGUAACACAUAUUUGUCAUCUUUCUUUAGACAAAACUACGGAUCUCUAUUUAGAGUAAAGACUUUGACUAAUUAUGGGGUAUAUGUAGGCCUCACUUUUCGUUAGAGCGCCUAAGCCGAUUGAUGGAAAAUCAUCAUCAAUAUAGCCAUCGAGUGCCAUUUCGAGACUGUGUCUUCCCAAGAUCUUUUUCAUUCUUAACUUCAGAUGUUUGAUACAUAUCGGCAUCUCUUGAUCCAUCAAGAGUCCAUGUAAAUCCGGAAUGAACACGCAAAUGCAUAAUUCAUCAUAUCCCUUCCAAAUCAAGUAGAGUUCAUGUGCGUUUCAAUACAUUUAGCAAACGCAUGCUCCUGUGGUGUGGAGCCACUUGAUUCGGAUGAAUGAAGUCCGUUUAAGACCUUCAUGUAUAUCUCUGAUCUUAUAGAGAUGUUAUUAUCACCACAAUCAUAAGCUGCAUGUUCAGUUAUUCGGAAACUACCACACUGACAAAGUAGUGGAGUGCAAUGACAUCCAUUACGAGAACAUAUCUCAUCGUAGUUGAUCCCAGUGCGUGUUAGUGAGAGACUUUGCGCCAUAAGGUGAGCCUAAGCUCUUGUUCUCACUACGUUAUCUAACAAAGACAUAGUUGAUAGGGUUUAGCUUGCGGUGUCAGCAUCACCUGCCUAAUGACCUAUCUCUUUGUUAAUGCUGGAUCAUAUCUUUCCAUUAGGCCAACAACUAAGUUGAUAUCCAUCAACGAAGGGUGGUUCGAUAGUAGACUCAUUAUCUCACGUCCUCAUGUACACUAGUGUAAUACUUGUAAAGAUCUCUUUAUGGAGUGGAUUUGACAUUGAGACAUCCCCCAACGAUAAUCACAAUUUAGACUUUAUGAGGCGGAUUUGAGUAUGACUAAUCAACGGAUCAGGUUGUGCCAAGCUCGCUUUCUUCCUAGUGCGAGAAAGUAUUGAACCUAAAGGCCUCCCUCCUUUUGGGGAGCCACACAGCCUUGUGACACCAAUUUUGCCACUAUAUGGCGUCACCAUUUUACCAUCUAUGGUGAUGGCGUUAAGAUCAACUUGGUCACGCCAUGUCCUCUUGAUAGGACAUCAAUCCUUGCAGACAUAUUUGUAGCAUAUGAUCUCGUCACUUUAACACUUUAAGCAUUUGAGAUCAAGAUGAGACUUAGUGGGGACAAACCACGAUAAUUCACGUCGUUCCACUUGAUCACUUGUGUUCUUAUCUCCCUCUAACGGCGGGAAUAUUGUCUCAUCAAAGUGACAAUCCGCAAUUUAGUGGUGAAUGAGAUCAUCUGACAAGGUUUCUACAUAUGCGGUUUAUAUAGUUGGAGGUUCAUAUCCAACCUAAGUACUUAUUCAUCUCAAAUGACUCAUCAUUGUGCGCAGUGGCAUUGCGAUUUGGCACCUAAAAAUAACAUCUAGCCGAGCUCAAGGAUUGGAGAUCCAUUUUAAUCCUGCCGAGGUCAAGGAUUGCAAUUUCGUGUCAAUCCUCGUACACAGUCACAAGCUAUAAUACAAAAAUAUUCAAUGAUUGUGCGUCGUAAAUGAAUAGUAAAGCUGCAUGCAAAUAUUGCAUAGCCCCAAGACGCAAUAGAAAGAUUGGUGCGCAUCAAUAAUGUUCGAGCGACAAGCUAAAGUUUCUUAGUCGUAGCCUCGGUGAGACCGUAUUGCGUGUGAACAUGGGGUACAUGACACUUCAACUUAUAUCUCAAUAAACUUCUUUAAAGAAUGGGUAGUGAGCUUGUAGAAGUAUAAGCAGCAUAAACAGUAGAUAAUAGUCUAACACGUGACCGGUGUGUUAACACUUCAACCAACACCAUAAAGCAUAAAAAGGUGUCCACAAUUUGGUUGUAUCUAUCUACAUAAUUUGAUGUAAGAAUGAAAUGUUCACUUUUGUGUCAAUUAGCGUAGGAGAGUCUCACUCCUAAUUUAGCUAAAGAAUAGGCUUUCAAAACGAGCAAUGAGUAUUGCAAUGGGCUAAUGAGACAUCGAGGGAAAGCCGGUGCACCCCAAUUGCUUAAAGAAUUAAUUGGACGGCCUUCGGAAAGUUGGAGUCGUGUUCGGGUGACGUCAAUGUCCCCGGAUGCCAUCAUUUACAACCAUGGCGUCACCAUCAUACUUCAUGGAGAAGCUAGAUCCCGAAUGUCUUCAUUUUGAGCGGAAGAAUGGAUGUCCAUGAGAAUUUCUCAAAAUUUUGACCAUUAUAUCUCUUGCAGGAUGACCAAUUUGGUCAAACCAAAGCCUAUAUGAGUCGGUGUCCCAAAUAUCAUGUUUGGCGAUAAUAUGUGAUUCGAUAUUCGAAUCAUACAAAUCAUAGUGACAUACAAUCCACUAGAUUGACUCAUAAUCUUCUCUAAGAUGCAUUUCAGUUCCCAUACAUGAGAAUGUAUACACAAAAGAACUCUUGUUCUUUCUCACAAUGUGUUUUCAAAUGAAAACUAUUAGCAAGAAUGUCUUUAAAGCUCAACAUGGUUCGGUUGCCUCUCAAUACAUAAAAGGCAUCUGUGACGUUGAUCAUGGUACCAUAAAGCAUCAAAGUGCAAGAUAAAUUGCGUCCCUAAAUGACCGGUAUGAUUCAAUUAUUGUAGUCACAGAAGAUUUACAUAGACACAAAAUCCAAAGAUAGUUGCCGAUUCCUUAGAAUGUUGUGGAUAGUUCCACUAUCUACUAGGCACUCAAUAUCUCUAUGAGACAUAUCUACAAAAAGGAGUAGAUAGGCGAGUAAAUAUUUCCACUCGAACUAUUUAGAAGGAUUGAAAGAAGCUACAAAAAGCUGCAAUCCCAAGAGUGCAUAAAAAUUUCCACGCAAAAUGACUUUUGCGCACUAAAACAGCUAUAAAUUCUUCGUUAAAAUAGAUAUGGAUGAACCGCGAAAAUUUCUGAAAACUAGACUUGUAGAGCUUUCUAAUGAUAUAAAUCUCACUGUCUGUUUAGUCCGGAGCUAUUCACAAAGCUCAAAUGAAGUUGACUGUUCAGAAGGGACAAAUUGUUGUUUUUCGUAGAUUUGGCAUAUGCAAAGCAAUGAAGCUUGUGAAUGGCAUGUGGGCAUAAGUCGAAGCCAAAAUGACAUGUAUAUGAUCAAAAUAAAGUCGUUUUGGUCUUUCCAAGGUCGUAAACUCUAUGACUAGUCUAGUUAGCGAAAACUAACUCAGAGGACCUAGAGGAUUCGAUCAUGAUGAUAAUUGUCCUGUUUUGAUAAGUCCUUAACGUCUUCUACAAGACGAAAAUUGGUUUAAUAGCAUAUGGGGAUCCAAAAUCAAAAGUUUUCGGUAACUCCAAGUUAGUAUGAUCAGACAUGUCCGUGGAGGGUCGGUAGUACGAGGCACACUUGAAACCAUUAUCUUCUUAAUUUCGGACAAUUCUAACACAUUACAUUGAGCUUGGAUGAGCCUAGUUGAACAAUUGAUGAUGAAAAAUCCGCUAUAAAGUAGAAGACUUAACGGGAAACACGUUGGCAAUCCUCCUUGAGGAUGCAAGGCCGAGCGUCAUCUUCACUUGGAAGAGACCAAAUCAACACAAUCUAACCAUGUAGAUUGUAUAUAUGCCAUGCUUCUAAGGACAAUGUAAAAAUGUAUAUCUUUUUUGUAAAUCAAUACGAACCAUAAGAGGAGAAUAGUUUCAUAACUUCGAAAAAAUUCUCAAGGCAUUCAUUAUUACUAAUGUGAGUACAUUGAAGUCUCAAAUAGACGAAGGACGUCGAUACGACGCCUUAUUACAUAUAGCUUGGAAAGAAAAUCAACGUCUAGCCGAUGACGUCAAAGUCAGGGGUAGCUACAGUUGGAUCCGAAUCUUUGAAAUCCGCGAUCAUGAGGAUCACGUUCUUGUCCUCAUAUUGAUUUUCCGUACCUUUUUGUAUGCAUUCAUGACUUGAGGAUGAGCUCGACAACUCCUCAACUAGUGAUCUGGAGAUCCACACGGUUGCAUUCUUCGGAGCUGACAUGAGUAGUUUUGAUAGAUUGGUGUCUAGACCGGGAGUGUCGUCAUUAUGCGGCACCUCCCCCUCUUUUCUAGACUUCGGCACAGGUUCUUUACUGUUGUCGUGACCUACAUUACCUUUACCACACUAGGGGUUAAUCCCACGUGCACAGGCUAAUACGUUUAUCUCAUUAGCGUUUAUGUAAUUCCGCUAAAGAUUAUAGAUCAGGAUGCCAUGGAAUAUCAUCGGCGAUAUGUAGUCAAAUAAUGUGGUAAGCAAUCCACUUGACUUAAUAACUCAACGAGUUGAGUUAGAUGGACGUUUCAAGAAACGCUCCAUAAGUGCAUUCCACAGUAUUUUGUGGUCAUUACUUUUUACACAGAUUGCCGUUGAAGAUUGUUGCAUGUCGAUGUGGCGCCUCGAAACUUUGAGCGCGAGAGAUGUGAAAUCUCGGCAUCUAGGCUUGUUAGCCUAGGAGUCAAAACAUGUGGUUUAAUCUUUUCCAAUGAAAGGUUUCAUAUAUAUCUAGCGAAGAUUCGCCUUAGGCACCAAGUACGUCAAAACUCAGAUGAGCAUAAUGUUACGUUGCUCUUGCAUACAAAACUAAGCUGUUAUGAGACUCGAUAGAGGUUACAAACGAUGUUUUUAAUGGUUUGUCUUUCUGAUUGAUCACAUACAAUCCGGAAAAGCCACGAAUUGAUCAAACACAAUUUGGAAAAAGGCCUCGGAUUGAUCAAACACAAUCCGGAGAAAGGUCGGGGUUGAUCACACACAACCCGGACAAGGAAACAAGAGUGAUCAAACACACUCUUGACCCGCGAAUAAAAUUUCAAGAUUUUUACCCGCACGCACAAAAUCUGAAGCAUAGAAUGAAGAUGGAGAAUGGAGGAAAGGACUUUAUCCUCCCCGAGUUAUUGAACUUGAGAAAGUUUAGGGUUUCAAAACAUACCUUUCGAAACUUCAAACACUUGAACAAGUCGAAAAUUGUAGUCGGACGAAACCAAUAAUCGUCGGUGGGCGGCGACCAAGGGAUUGGUAGCCGGUGAUGUCAGACAGCGGUCGAGAAAACGGGUGGCGGAGGCAAUCGGAUAGAAGAGCCGAAAAACGCUUUUUAGGUUUUCGAAAAACAAAUGGUGGGUUAUUAGCUCUAGGGUUAGAACAAAGUGCAUGAUAACGUGAUCAAAUAUAAACUAUAAAGAAUGAGAGAUAGAAAGAGAAUAGAGAAUCAUCAUCUUAUUCAUUGAUAAGAGCCCUUUAUAUAGGGAAUUACAAAGUACCAAUAUGAUAAUGAUAAGGAAUUCAUAGUCUAUUCCAACUACAUAUCCUGAUGGCAUAAGGCCAAUGCACAUUUAUGAAAUAUCCUAGAACAAUAUUGUAUUUUAGGGGUAUUUUAAUUUCAUUUCUUGUAGGGGCAUUUUAAUAAUCAAACUAGUUUUAAUUCUGAAUUUUAUAUGGUAAGUAAAUAACAUCAAUCGUAAUUAGUUCCAUUUUUGUUUUGAUUCCUUAUGGUAAGUAAACAGUAAAAUGAUAUAAACUAUUCUCAUACCGAUUCUUCUUGAUACCGAUUCAUGAUAAUUUUCAUUCCAAGUUAGUAAAGUGUCCUAGAUCUAUUGUAAGCCGUUACAUUUGGGGUAAUGAAAAGAUAAAACACAAAAAGUAGUUUGUUUUUUUCUUUUUUUGUUGUCAAGGCUUUGUUAAGUUUGAAACUUUAAAUUGCUUAAUGUUAUUUUAUGUCCAAGUUGGUUUGAACUUUUGGAAACUUGGAAUAUCUUUGCUUUCAUGGAAAUAUGUCUUAAAUUCCAGGUUUUCCGGAUCUGAAUCAGUUUUUUUUUUUUUUUUUUUUUUUUUUCUAGAUUCGGAUCUAUUCGGAUCUUGUAUAUAAAAAUGCAAAUCCGAUCCAAAAUAAUUAAACUGUUCGGAUCACGGAUCCUAUUUUUUUAAAAUGGAUCUAAUUUGAACGCAGCCUUACUCUGAAGUAUGACCUGAGAUAAUAUCAGGACUCGCUACAUCUGAUAAAUAUUCUAACAAGCACCAAGUAGCAAAGAGUAUUGUUCCAUUGACAACUCCAUUUGUUUUGACACAAAGUGACAUAAUGCAAAAAUCAUUAUAUAUAUAACACUAUUACACAUCCUAAUGUCUAACAAUCAGCUUAGCUUUUCAACUAUGUUAUUGUUGGAAUAAAGAUCCAACGACACGUAAUUUCAUCAUACUACUAGGCGACAUCAACCAUUUCACGAAACAAGAAGCUCGCCGCCCACCUAGAGCAGACAAGACACAUUUAAUGCAAACACCAGCACGAAGUUCAUCUAUCCUACAAAACUGAUGUAGGGGUUUAUUGCGACAUAAAGUGCAACCUUAAUAAGCAACUUAAAUAAAUACAAAAUAUUUAUUAAGAUAAACAUUAGGGCAUAUCCCAAUAAAAGAGUUCAAACCCUGGUCUAGGACCACAUCCCACAUGCAGAGCCCAACUCAACUCUUGCAUAGCCUUCUCUUGCCUCCCACAUGCCCAGUCACACCACCACCAGUGACGGAUUGCCACCGUCGACGGUUUAGGGAACUAGCCACUCGGUCGCUCCAUCACCAACACUUCAUGACCCACACACCAACGAUUAAUGCAACUAUAUAUCCUCCGGCUCUAAACCGAAUAUGGAAUGUCCUGAUCGAUCUACAUAUCCAGUAACUCAUAAGUCCUCCACCUCCAUCCUCGCUUGACUUAAAAACUCGACCACAUUUGAUGAUCUCAUGGCUACCCGCGACAACGAACUCGCUGACCAACCCUGACAACAAUAAUCGAGGUGCCACUCAACAACGACCACAAGUUCUUCCACCACCUCACUCCAACCACAACAGUCUAGAUUGAACUACCCCACAGCCAACACACAACCAAUCUCGUUCGAGCGGUGACACCCUUAGAACGCGCCAUUAGGCAAAUGAGAGAAAUUUUCAUAUAAAACCCUAGAGCAUGUGCGACGUGUUCGAGCCAAAGAGGGAGUUUUUAGUUUUAAAUCAAAUGAUGAACAAGUCAAAUAAUUUGUUAAUGAAACUAAUUUUUGUGUGUAAGUUUGAUUUGUUGAAUUGCAAAAUGUAGAUUAUGUUGAUUUUGUAGAUCUUUUUUCUUAGAGUAGCAUAAUAACGCAAGUCGAUAAGAAUUUGGGUCGUUGUACUUUUGAUGUAUCUAAAUCCAUAUUGGCUCCUUUGGUUUUACUCCCAUUUAUUUUAAAUUUUGAAUUAUUUUUGUUUUUUUCUUAGGGAUUGGACGUCAGGUCUUUAUACCAAAUGAAUCAUAAUCACAAACAUGACUUCCCAGCAAUGACAACGGAAGCAUAAGUCAUGCCAAGUAACUCAAGAGAAACCUAAUGAAACUACCAUGAUGUUU
rnacentral:lncRNA from 1 species